AGGGUUUUUGAUCGUCUUCGCUAUAUAAUGCCCUCUCCUCUAUUUGCCUUUACAUCACAUCUCUCUCUCACCUCUUCUUCAAGCGGCUGGUAUCAACUAUCAGGGUCCGAUGCCACGUCGCCGGUAGCUGUAAACGGCGGUGACCGGCGAUGCUAUGAUUGGACCGAGAGUGAUUUCAUGUUUCGUAUGCUGAUAGGAAUCUGUGGAUCUGAUGCCGUUGGUCUAUGGAGCCGAUUUCUGCGAUUACAUUUAUCUCAAUAUGUUUAUAUAUAUAAUAAUGCUAUGUAUAAGUCGGCGUUUUUAUUGUGUUCUUAUGAAGCCGAUGAGGAUUAGUCUCUUUUAGUUGGAA